rnacentral:lncRNA from 1 species
GAUACUCACUCGCUCUAAUUAAAUAAAGAUAAACUCUUUUAAGCAAUUCGUCAAACACCUUGUAUGCGUGCUUUUGUGAGUUAAACCACUUUAGUAAAGGGUUAUAUCAACUCACCUCAAAACUUCUCGAGCCAAUACGUAGGCCCCAGUCCAAUUGACACCAGUCAAACAAUCGCUUCUACAAUAACCAGUGCAUUCUAAUCAAUUUUUAAAGUACUACACUUAAAUAUGAAAUUUAUUGUUGAUAUGGAGGAAGAAGGGAAUUAACUAUUUCAUUCUUACCUAUUACCACUAUAGGAUAAUUGACAAUAGGGAAAUUUACUUACCUGAGUUCAAGAAUUUUGUGGUUUGUAAAGAAACCUAGAUUUUCUGUUGCCCGGCUCUCUGUUUCGUGAGUGAGUAGGACGUGCUUUUGCCUUCUGUCUUUGUUUACGAGAAUGACAGAACCUAUUUUGCCUUCUGCCCUUUUUUCUAUACGUGACUAACCUUAUUUUCCUAAGG